rnacentral:rRNA from 1 species
CNUACGGGAGGCAGCAGUGGGGAAUAUUGCACAAUGGGCGCAAGCCUGAUGCAGCGACCCGCGUGGGGGAUGACGGCCUUCGGGUUGUAAACCUCUUUUACCACUCACGCAGGCUCCACGUUCUCGUGGGGUUGACGGUCAGUGGGGAAUAAGGACCGGCUAACUACGUGCCAGCAGCCGCGGUAAUACGUAGGGUCCGAGCGUUGUCCGGAAUUAUUGGGCGUAAAGAGCUCGUAGGCGGCAUGUCGCGUCUGCUGUGAAAGACCGGGGCUUAACUCCGGUUCUGCAGUGGAUACGGGCAUGCUAGAGGUAGGUAGGGGAGACUGGAAUUCCUGGUGUAGCGGUGAAAUGCGCAGAUAUCAGGAGGAACACCGGUGGCGAAGGCGGGUCUCUGGGCCUUACCUGACGCUGAGGAGCGAAAGCAUGGGUAGCGAACAGGAUUAGAUACCCUGGUAGUCCAUGCCGUAAACGUUGGGCGCUAGGUGUGGGGACUUUCCACGGUUUCCGCGCCGUAGCUAACGCANUAAGCNC